CUCUCCCAACACACCUUACAACGUCCAUCAGAAAUUUAUAUCCUGUGUCAUUCCUUCUCAACCUCACAGCAACCUGGGUUCAAGUCCACCAGUCAUCAGACUUUUGUUUGUGGAGAAUCUCCCAGAAAGGAGCUCACUGCCUCCUUACUGCUCCACCAUGACCCUGGUGUUCACCUUGAUGCUUGAGGUGCUCCUGUUCCUGAGAGGAGCCGGAGCCCAGUCGGUGACCCAGCCUGACGGCCACAUCACUGUCUCUGAAGGAGACCAUCUGGAGCUGAGGUGCAACUACUCAUCUUCUGUUUCGCUCUAUCUGUUCUGGUACAUGCAGUACCCCAAUCAAGGACUCCAGCUUCUCCUGAAGUACAUAUCUGGAAACAGCCUUGUCUCAGGUAUCAAAGGUUUUGAGGCUGAAUUUAGGGGGAGUGAGAAGUCCUUCCACCUGAGGAAAACAUCAGCCCAUUGGAAAGACUCGGCCAAGUACUUCUGUGCUCUGAGUGACACAGUGACUAAGACUACAGUGGGAGCUGAACACAAAUCUCCUGAGACUGAGUAG